rnacentral:rRNA from 1 species
GAUGAACGCUGGCGGCGUGCCUAAUACAUGCGAGUCGAGCGAACGGACGAGAAGCUUGCUUCUCUGAUGUUAGCGGCGGACGGGUGAGUAACACGUGGAUAACCUACCUAUAAGACUGGGAUAACUUCGGGAAACCGGAGCUAAUACCGGAUAAUAUUUUGAACCGCAUGGUUCAAAAGUGAAAGACGGUCUUGCUGUCACUUAUAGAUGGAUCCGCGCUGCAUUAGCUAGUUGGUAAGGUAACGGCUUACCAAGGCAACGAUGCAUAGCCGACCUGAGAGGGUGAUCGGCCACACUGGAACUGAGACACGGUCCAGACUCCUACGGGAGGCAGCAGUAGGGAAUAUUCCGCAAUGGGCGAAAGCCUGACGGAGCAACGCCGCGUGAGUGAUGAAGGUCUUCGGAUCGUAAAACUCUGUUAUUAGGGAAGAACAUAUGUGUAAGUAACUGUGCACAUCUUGACGGUACCUAAUCAGAAAGCAACGGCUAACUACGUG